rnacentral:lncRNA from 1 species
CAACCUCAAACCUGAAAUAGGCCAAUAUCUUAGGUUGUUUAAACCCCAAACAUUGGUCGAGGGUACUGUAAUAGGCCAAUUUUGGCCUGGGCCCAAAUCACAAUCACAAAACUAAACCAAAAACCAAAAUAAAAAUAAUAAAAACACCAAAAUAGUCCAGGCCCAAUUACAAUAAACCCAAAACUAAUUUUCCCUAGCCCACAACGUUUUCAAAAAAAAAGAAAAAUAAGGAAACCCUAACCCUAACCCUUCUCAGCCGUCGCCCUCCAUGUCAACACCCCGUACCUCCAUCGCCCAGCUGGCGUAUGGCUUCCGUACCUCCAAGGACAAACCAC